ensembl:lncRNA
GUGAUCAUGUUUGUGCUUUGGUGUGUGUUUUUGGCCUUUUUGGCCAUGCCUGGUGGUCAUUCAGCCAUGCUUCAGUACACCCAGGAAGAGUGGCUUAUCACUGAGAAUCCGCAGUAUGUUGAUGCCGAUGGACAGUUUGUAGCAGUCCAGGACGGCAUGCCUGAAAGUUCAUCAGAAGUUGCCAGAACACUGGAAGCCAAGGACCAGAUGAAAUCAACUACCCCAGAACAAUUUCUUGUGAGGGAACAAGACUUCAAAAAAGCUGAAGGAUCAGCAGUGUGGAAAAUUGCCCUGGUAGUAGCCAUCCUGCUGGUGUCUGUAGUGGGAUUGCUGAGCACGACCUACUACCUGUGUGUCUGGAGAGGAGGCAGAAUCUACUAUCAGGCUCAGAAGGAGGGUUAUGCUUAAAUAAAG